AGAGUUUGAUCAUGGCUCAGGAUGAACGCUGGCGGCGUGCUUAAUACAUGCAAGUCGUGCGGUAACAGAGGAAGCUUGCUUCCUGCUGACGAGCGGCGGACGGCUGAGUAACACGUAGGAACGUACCCCGAAGUGAGGGAUAAGCACCAGAAAUGGUGUCUAAUACCGCAUGUGCUCUAAGGAGUAAAGCUUAGGCGCUUUGGGAACGGCCUGCGUCUGAUUAGCUUGUUGGUGAGGUAAUUGCUCACCAAGGCGACGAUCAGUAGCUGGUCUGAGAGGAUGACCAGCCAGACUGGGACUGAGACACGGCCCAGACUCCUACGGGAGGCAGCAGUAGGGAAUUUUCCACAAUGGGCGAAAGCCUGAUGGAGCAACGCCGCGUGCAGGAUGAAUGCCUUCGGGUUGUAAACUGCUUUUAUAUGUGACGAUUAUGACGGUAGCAUAUGAAUAAGGAUCGGCUAACUCCGUGCCAGCAGCCGCGGUCAUACGGAGGAUCCAAGCGUUAUCCGGAAUUACUGGGCGUAAAGAGUUGCGUAGGUGGCAGAGUAAGCAGACAGUGAAAGCGUGUGGCUCAACCAUACAUCCAUUGUCUGAACUGCUCAGCUUGAAGACGAGAGAGGUAGAUGGAAUUCCUAGUGUAGGAGUGAAAUCCGUAGAUAUUAGGAGGAACCCGAUGGCGUAGGCAGUCUACUGGCUCGUUCUUGACACUAAGGCACGAAAGCGUGGGGAGCAAACGGGAUUAGAUACCCCUGUAGUCC
rnacentral:rRNA from 1 species